rnacentral:rRNA from 1 species
UCUACGGGAGGCUGCAGUGAGGAAUAUUGGUCAAUGGGCUUACGCCUGAACCAGCCAAGUCGCGUGAGGGAAGACUGCCCUAUGGGUUGUAAACCUCUUUUGUCAGGGAGCAACGCCGGCUACGUGUAGCCGGACUGAGAGUACCUGAAGAAAAAGCAUCGGCUAACUCCGUGCCAGCAGCCGCGAUAAUACGGAGGAUGCGAGCGUUAUCCGGAUUUAUUGGGUUUAAAGGGUGCGUAGGCGGUUUUUUAAGUUAGUGGUUAAACGUCGGGGCUUCACCUUGAUUUGCCAUUAAUACUGUAAGACUCGAGUUCAGACGAGGUAGGCGGAAUAAGUUAAGUAGCGGUGAAAUGCUUAGAUAUAACUUAGAACUCCGAUAGCGAAGGCAGCUUACCAGACUGCGACUGACGCUGAAGCACGAGAGCGUGGGUAGCGAACAGGAUUAGAUACCCCAGUAGUC